rnacentral:rRNA from 1 species
AUGAAAAAGAAGAUGAGGUUUUCCCACAUGAAAUCUUGGACCAUAUUGAGAGGAAAGUUACGGAUGAUGUUAACACGAAACUUACCAAACCGUUUUCUGCAAAGGAGGUUAGUGAUGCUUUUUUUUCAAAUUGGCCCGCUCAAAGCCCCGGGUGCUGAUGGAUUCCCAGCUCAUUUCUUCCAGAGGAAUUGGGAGGUACUGAGGGACGACAUUGUGAAAGGGGUACUGGGUUUUUUUGACACUGGAGUUCUCCCAGAUGGCCUGAACGAUACGGUAAUAGUUUUAAUCCCGAAAAGCAAGGACCCUCAGACCCUCAAAGACUACCGCCCGAUCAGCCCGUGCAACGUCCUCUACAAAGUAAUCUCCAAGUGCCUGGUUAAUCGGUUGCGGCCUCACUUAGAUGGAAUCAUAUCUGAGACACAAAGUGCUUUCGUCUCGGGAAGAUUGAUCACGGACAAUGCUGCCAUUGCUUUUGAGUGCUUCCACAAGAUUCAACACAGCAAGCAUCCGCAGAACACACAUUGCGCGUACAAGCUCGACCUAGCUAAGGCCUAUGAUAGGGUGGAUUGGGAGUUCCUAGAAGGCAUGCUACUGAAAACGGGUUUCAGUCAAAAGUGGAUAGGAUGGCUAAUGCAAUGCGUUAGGUCGGUCAGAUACUCGGUGCGAUGCAAUGGAGAGUUGCUUGAACCCUUCGUCGCAUCUCGAGGUUUGCGUCAAGGAGAUCCACUUAGCCCUUAUCUCUUCCUGUUUAUUGCGGAUGGUUUGGUUAAGCUCAUAAAUCUGGAAAUCUCACAAGGCAAUCUGUCGCCGCUAAAGAUUGCAAGAAGCAGCCCCGGUAUCUCUAACCUGCUCUUUGCGGAUGACAGCUUACUCUUCUUCAAAGCGACGCCAGAGCAAGCCCAUACCGUGAAAAGAAUCCUCUCCUCCUUCCAGAGGGCCACCGGACAGCUGCUUAGUGAGAGUAAGUGUUCGAUUCUUUUCAGUGAGGUGUGCCCUUUGAGUACAAGAGAGGACAUAAAAGCAAUUUUGGGGGUGGUAUCCACGGCUUUUGAAGGGAAGUACCUAGGCCUACCGACACCGGAGGGUAGAAUGAAAGACGAGUGCUUCCAGCCCAUCAUGGACAGGCUCAAGAAGAGGUGCACCGAUUGGUCGGAGAAAACCAUGUCAUAUGCGGCCAAAGAUGUCCAAGUGAAGUCAAUUGUACAAGCGCUGCCUUGCUACACUAUGGGAGUGUUUCUACUCUCGAUGGGUUUCUGUGAGAAGUACAAGAAGAUGAUUCGGGAUUUCUGGUGGGGGGGAUGA